CCGGAUACAUCACUAACAGACAAAACCAAGAAUGGACGUUCGCCGUAGGGACGGGGAGCGCAUUUUCAACGCUUGACGGCGCAGCACGCUGCUGCGCCGAUAAAUUCGGGACUGACUCUUUCUUCUUCACGAAGUUGCUCCUCUUUCGUCGGUCAAAUCUUCCAUGUACUACCUUGUUCUUGGGAAUCCAUUCCGUUUUCAAAGGCGAUAAAUGACGGAAUUUCACUUUACUCCCGCCUGGAAGCGAUGCCCUCGAUGCUAAUUACAGCUUGGUAUUGAUUCUGGUCCAGGCUUGGGAGAGAGCGCGAUUGAGAAUGUUGGUUCUUGAUCUUUCUGGAGUUUUAGGGUUUUAAUUGUAUUUUUGAUGGGAUUGUAAGCGCAGCGCAGAACGUGUUUGACCCAAGAGUCUGGGCUGAUGUUAGUUUUCUCUGCCGUUUUCAAGAUAUAAAAACCGAAAUGAAACUUAUGCGUAAUUCUGAUCUGAAGCCACGGGAGAGCUAGAGGAGGCUCUGAUACCGAGAUGAAACACAACCUGCAUACAAUGAGAAUAGGAGAAGAAGAAGUAUUAUCGGAAGGUUCUGUGUUUCAUCUAUUGGUGUGCCGGCAAAGCAUUUGAACGAAGCUUCUGGGCAUAAGGAAGUGAAGUGCCAUUUUUGAAGAUGAAGCAUAGCAGAACGUGUUUGGAAUUCUAUGCCAUACUUAGAGGAAAGCAGAUGCUCUGUUUAUUAUUCUUUAUAUCAAAGUAUGAAUGGAUUUAAAUUAGUAAUACAUUGUGCUCCAUUUUAAGUAGAACAAAUGUGAUUGACCAUUCUUUAGAAGUUGGUUCAUCAAUUUAUUGAAGAU